rnacentral:rRNA from 1 species
CACGCUGUAAACGAUGUGUGCUAGCCGUUGGGACUCUUAGAGUUUCGGUGGCGUCGCUAACGCUUUAAGCACACCGCCUGGGGAGNGCGCAGAACCUUACCAGCUCUUGACAUGGGAAGUUUGGUUUUCAGAGAUGAAAUCCUUCAGUUCGGCUGGCUUCCACACAGGUGC